GCCAGUGUAGCUUAGUGGUUUGAGUGUUGGACUGCAACUCUGGAGAUCAGGGUUUCAUUCCCAGCUCAGCCA
rnacentral:tRNA from 1 species